rnacentral:rRNA from 1 species
GACGAACGCUGGCGGCGUGCCUAAUACAUGCAAGUAGAACGCAGUUGCGAACGGGUGAGUAACGCGUAGGUAACUGCCUCAUAGCGGGGGAUAACUAUUGGAAACGAUCGCUAAUACCGCAUACUGUGAGAUGGACCUGCGUUGUAUUAGCGAGUUGGUGGGGUAAAUGCGCACCAAGGCGACGAUACAUAGCCGACCUGAGAGGAUGAUCGGCCACACUGAGACUGAGACACGGCCCAGACUCCUACGGGAGGCAGCAGUAGAGAAUCUUCAGAAAUGGACGGAAGUCUGACCGAGCAACGCCGCGUGAGUGAAGAGGUUUGUCGGGUCGUAAAGCUAUGUUGUUGGAGAAGCGGUACCUAACCAGAAAGGGACGGCUAACUACGUGCCAGCAGCCGCGGUAAUUC